GCCUGGGUGGCUCAGUCAGUUGAGCAUCCUACUUCAGCUCAGGUCAUGAUCUCACAGUUUGUGGGUUCGAGCCCCGCACCAGGCU
rnacentral:tRNA from 1 species